rnacentral:rRNA from 1 species
AUUGAACGCUGGCGGCAGGCCUAACACAUGCAAGUCGAGCGGAUGAAGGGAGCUUGCUCCUGGAUUCAGCGGCGGACGGGUGAGUAAUGCCUAGGAAUCUGCCUGGUAGAGGGGGAUAACGUCCGGAAACGGGCGCUAAUACCGCAUACGUCCUGAGGUAGAAAGUGGGGGAUCUUCGGACCUCACGCUAUCUGAUGAGCCUAGGUCGGAUUAGCUAGUUGGUGGGGUAAAGGCCUACCAAGGCGACGAUCCGUAACUGGUCUGAGAGGAUGAUCAGUCACACUGGAACUGAGACACGGUCCAGACUCCUACGGGAGGCAGCAGUGGGGAAUAUUGGGCAAUGGGCGAAAGCCUGAUCCAGCAAUGCCGCGUGUGUGAAGAAGGUCUUCGGAUUGUAAAGCACUGUAAGUUGGGAGGAAGGGCAGUAAGUUAAUACCUUGCUAUUUUGACGUUACCAACAGAAUAAGCACCGGCUAACUUCGUG